GCCUUCGAGGAGCGUUGCGACGGAUUUUCUGUGAUCCGCCAGGCUCGAAGGUGCUCAAUCCGGUUGCUUUCCGCUGUCAAACGCAGAAGCCGACCGCACUGAAAACGGCGCUCACGUCUU
rnacentral:ncRNA from 2 species